CGCAGGUGCAUGGCAGACGGGUGAGUAACGCGUGGGGAAUCUACCUCUUUGUGGGGAAUAACGCUCCGAAAGGAGUGGUAAUACCGCAUGAGAUCCAUGGCUGGGAUGCUGUGGAUGAAACCUGGGGACCGCAAGGCCUGGGGCAAGGAGAGGAUCCUGCGUCUGAUUAGCUAGUUGGUGAGGUAAUGGCCCACCAAGGCGACGAUCAGUAGCCGGCCUGAGAGGGUGAUCGGCCACACUGGAACUGAGACACGGUCCAGACUCCUACGGGAGGCAGCAGUGGGGAAUUUUGCGCAAUGGGCGAAAGCCUGACGCAGCAACGCCGCGUGGGUGAUGAAGGUCUUCGGAUCGUAAAACCCUGUCGUCGGGGACGAAGGUGGAGGGGUUAAUAGCCUCUUUGCUUGACGGUACCCGGAGAGGAAGCCCCGGCUAACUCUGUGCCAGCAGCCGCGGUAAUACAGAGGGGGCAAGCGUUAUUCGGAAUUAUUGGGCGUAAAGGGCGCGUAGGCGGCUUUUUAAGUGAGAUGUGUAAUCCCUGAGCUCAACUUGGGAACUGCAUCUCAUACUGGGAGGCUAGAGUACUGGAGAGGGUGGUAGAAUUCCACGUGUAGCGGUGAAAUGCGUAGAGAUGUGGAGGAAUACCAGUGGCGAAGGCGGCCACCUGGACAGUAACUGACGCUGAGGCGCGAAAGUGUGGGUAGCAAACA
rnacentral:rRNA from 1 species